ensembl:lncRNA
UGCCAAGUGGGCAGCAGAAAGAGGAAGUUCCGCCUGUGGCGCAGUUAGAAUUCCAGAAAGAGGAAGUUCCACCUGUGGCGCAGUUAGAAAUGCAGAUACAGCAACUACAGCCCAAAUAAACCAAAUGCGGCUUGAUAAAAGAGGGAAGAAUGAACAGCCCCGCAGGCUCACUUUUACAGCAUUCAUUGCGAGAGGCCGCAGGGAUGGGCAGGUAGUAGACUGGAAAGAGUGGGGACAGAAUUCCCGAUUUUUGUCCAGGAGGAGCCGGAGGAGGUGGUCGGUCUCACCGACCAGUGCCCUAUAAGUUCAUGAAAGAUUUGAAAGAGGCAGUAAAUUAUAUGGAGCAGGCUCUUCUUAUGUCAAGCAGCUGUUGCAAUCUACUGUGGCUGUGGCCGCUUGGACCCCAGGGGAUUGGGAUGAAAUUAUGUCUGCUGUAUUGGAGAGUGCUGCUUACACCGCCUGGUCGGCGUAUAGACGCCGAGAGCUAGGACCUGGGCGGAGUUAAUUUCCCUCAGAAUGUAGAAGAUACCAUUAAUAUGCUAACUGGGUAUGGCCAGUAUGCUGGGCUGCAGGCACAGCUUUACUCCCAGACCUUGUAUACAAGGUGCCAGAUAGUGGCGCUAAAAGCAUUGGAUAGACUAGGGGAGAAAUCGCAACCUCCUUUAAACAAACUCGUGCAAAGGCCAAAAGAAAGUGCCAUGGAAUUCGCGUCCCGAGCACAAGAGGUUGUGGAAAAGAGAUAUGGAGCAGGAGAUGUUGCCCAAAAGCUGCUGAUACAGCUUUUCAAAGAAGGACUUAAACAGUCACGAGGGUUGUUGUCAAAGUUACCACCAGACCCCACAUGGGAAGAAUGCAUUGAUGUCUGCCUGGAGGAAGGUCCCUUACCUGAUGCAGGCAUGGUCCAGAAUGGAGAAGGUCGCUGGGUUCCCGUCCGCUGGGUUAGAGAGUUGGCGAAAGGAGCGGAUGCAGAGAAGGAGGCGGAAGCAAGGACGCCGCAGAUGUCAACCCAGAAGGCUGAAGAGGGAGAAUAAGAAGCGGAUCUCCCACUGUGUUUUUUCUUUAGCCUUUCUUAGUCUUGGCCUUGGGUGGGGAUUACCCGUUGGCGCCGAAGGGCGUUCGGCGAAACACCUGGUUGCACAGCUAAAUCACACUGCUAAGCCCUGGAAUAACCUUAACCAGGAGUAUACCUAUUGGGCACUAGUACGACACUUCCCCCAACCACGUCCAGUUACUUGGAAUGGGGAUCCUGUUCCCCUAGUUGUGGUUUCCAAUGCAUCACUUCUUAUGGGCGAAGGGGUGGGACGGCCAGUUAUCUCCCAUCUUCAAAAUAAGACCAUUAUUAUGAGGAGUCCCACACUACCCAUUUGCCUCAGCAAAGGUACCCAUGCCGGUUGUGCUCGGUAGAAAAUGAUACUAUCACUGAGUUACCGCAUGGACCCCACGGUUGGAUAGGGAAAGGGGAUCAUUACACUUUUAUGUAUUGCAACAUCAGCAUAGUACUAGCGGGUUUUUUCCCUCUCCACUCCCUCUUUGCACCCCUUCCCCUAACAUGUUUGCAGGCUUCCAAGUCUGUUCUACAGGGCAUCAAGUAGGUGGCGAAAACGUGAAUGGGACUCAACUCUACUUUCUGGAUGGACAACCGGGUCCUUGGUUUGCGGCCCCGGUACCCAAUGUGAGAAGCCCUCGAGGAGUUAUAGCCCAUGCACAUCUGUGGAAAUUGGCUGCUGCCUUUGGCCCCUUGAUCCACUUCACAGAUAACAGUGCACCUCUAUCUGACAACAGCACUCUUCGACUGGUGGUGGGACUUGUUAUUUUCAGCAGGGCGUUCUUGCCAUUGAUUCUUUGAUUAAGAACUUGACUGACUUUGAGCAAAUAGAAGAUUGCCUUGGUCAAUUGGACAUAUUUUGGAGCAUAUUCGCAAUGUCACCCGUCAAACAAGGGAUAAUCUCUUCCCUGAUUCCCCUUUCGAUCAAUUUUUCAACUGGUUACAUAACCUGGGAUUUUCGCAAUUCCUUCUUUGGCUCAUUUAUGGUGCAGGCUUCCUGAUCCUUAAUCUGCUUUUUGGCCCCUUGCCUUUUCUUUUGUUGGCUCCGUGUGCUGCGACGCUUUCUUGAGAACGUCAAAGCCGACCUCUCCCUCCCUAAGAAAAACCCUGUCUUUGUUUAAACAGAAAGGGGGAGAUUGUUGGGGGCUGGUAAGAGAUGUCGGAAUGGAGAGGUAAAGGUGAUUGGGGGCUGGCAGGGGACACCUGAAUGGAGAGGUGACACCCCAGGAGUUGGGACCCGCCUCUUCUGGGAUAGCUUGCGGGCUCAGCAGUGAGCUACGUGACAAUCCCAGAUGAGGUGCUGGGGAGGCUCUGCUAAUGGGUUGUUGGCACCGCCUUCGGGGUGGAUCCUUGUAGCCUUCAUGACCCGCCCUCAGAUUAUAUAACGGGCUGAGAACAAAGGAUCGGGGAAUCCUCCACAAUAAAGAGCAUACACCACACUCGCGUCCUGUCUGG